AAAUUACUCCCUCCAUCCCAAAAUUAUUGUCUUAGAUUUGUCUAGAUACAGAUGUAUCAAGUCACAUUUUAGUAUUAGAUACAUCCGUAUCUAGACAAAUCUAAUACAAGAAUUUUGGGACAGAAAGAGUAGUUG
rfam:Triticum aestivum genome assembly, contig: Triticum_aestivum_CS42_TGACv1_scaffold_132620_2BL